CUACGGGGGGCUGCAGUGGGGAAUAUUGCACCAUGGGCGCAAGCCUGAUGCAGCCAUGCCGCGUGUGUGAAGAAGGCCUUCGGGUUGUAAAGCACUUUCAGCGGGGAGGAAGGCGGUGAGGUUAAUAACCUCAUCGAUUGACGUUACCCGCAGAAGAAGCACCGGCUAACUCCGUGCCAGCAGCCGCGGUAAUACGGAGGGUGCAAGCGUUAAUCGGAAUUACUGGGCGUAAAGCGCACGCAGGCGGUCUGUCAAGUCGGAUGUGAAAUCCCCGGGCUCAACCUGGGAACUGCAUUCGAAACUGGCAGGCUAGAGUCUUGUAGAGGGGGGUAGAAUUCCAGGUGUAGCGGUGAAAUGCGUAGAGAUCUGGAGGAAUACCGGUGGCGAAGGCGGCCCCCUGGACAAAGACUGACGCUCAGGUGCGAAAGCGUGGGGAGCAAACAGGAUUAGAUACCCGAGUAGUC
rnacentral:rRNA from 1 species